rnacentral:rRNA from 1 species
CGUAGGUGGUAGUGAAAGUCUAUGGUGGAAUCUUAGGGCUUAACCCUAAAACUGCCUUGGAAACUUCAUUACUUGAGUCAGUGAGGGGAGGGUAGAAUUCCUGGUGUAGCGGUGAAAUGCGUAGAUAUCAGGAGGAAGGCCGGUGGCGAAGGCGGCCCUCUGGCGCUGAACUGACGCUGAGGCGCGAAAGCGUGGGUAGCAAACAGGAUUAGAUACCCUGGUAGUCCACGCCCUAAACGGUGGGUACUAGGUGUAGGGCUCGUAAGGGUUCUGUGCCGAAGGGAAACCAUUAAGUACCCCGCCUGGGGAGUACGGCCGCAAGGUUGAA